rnacentral:rRNA from 1 species
UACGUAGGGGGCAAGCGUUGUCCGGAUUUAUUGGGCGUAAAGAGCGUGUAGGCGGCUUUGCAAGUCCGUUGUGAAAACUCGAGGCUCAACCUCGAGCUGUCGGCGGAAACCAUCUGGCUAGAGUCCGGAAGAGGAGAAUGGAAUUCCCGGUGUAGCGGUGAAAUGCGCAGAUAUCGGGAAGAACACCCGUGGCGAAGGCGGUUCUCUGGGACGGUACUGACGCUGAGACGCGAAAGCGUGGGGAGCGAACAGG